GGGCAACGUCACGUGCUGGGGGACGGCCUGGGACGCGGAUGAUUGGGAUUCGGGGGCGUCCUGAGCUGGUGGGAGUUGAUGUGACCUGGGCGCUCGACAGGCCCCCCGAGCCCGCUGCGGUGACCCCCGGCCGGUCCCCGCGGGGAGGGGAGCCCCAGGACGGCCCGCCCCGGCUUCGUCACCGAAAGUGCUUUUAAAAACCCGACUCCUUGUUUCAAGCCGUCUCCUUGAACACUGCGUGCCGGUGGCGUUUGUUCAGGGGCUGGACCGGUUCCCUGUGCUAAGCGGGAUGGGGUUCCAAGCACGCAUUUGGGAACGCCAGGGCCUCGCGCCUGUGCGUUAGAGUCGCACCCCGAGCCCCAGGCAGUGCGGACCUUUGGAAAGUGGAAACCAAGCAGGAGAGCUGCUGGGAUACGCCGUGAGGCCCCCAGCCUGAUGAUAAGGCAAGCGGUGGGCAGAGCAGCCCCGGCCCUGACUCUGAGUUCCCCUGAGUGGUACUGGCCUCACGGGGCAGUUGUCAGCGGUGUGUGCCCUUCACCCAACUGCCUGGUGGUAACCAGAGUUUCUGCGUGCAUCAAAGAUGGAAGAGGUUGUGAAGGCUCCUCAAGGAAAGCAAAAAAUCCAUUGAAGUUGGCGAUGCCAGUGAUUGUUGGUAGUAUUGGGUGACGUAUCUCUCAUGGGCCAGGCGUUACAUGUGCAUUCCCUUUCACCGGCACAAUAGUCUCUGUAUAGGAUCAGACUUCUCACCAUCCCCCAGUUACAGAUGAGGAAACUCACGCCUCUUGUGUACUGAAUAGUAAGUAGCUCCGCAAGCCAUACAGGUCCUUGGAGCAGAGACUUAGUCUGAGAUUCCUACAACUCUAGAAUCUGAGCUCUUAACUGCAAAACAUAUAUAUAUAUAUUAUAUUUAUAUAUAUAUGUGUGUGUGUGUGUGUGUGUGUGAUAAAUCGUGUGUUUUUGCAGCUAGAGUUGGGCCACUGCCUGCAGUGCCCCAGAGGCCACCCCUGACUCUGCUCAGGGGACUACAUGAGGGCUAAGAUCAAGCCAGGGCGGGCCACGUGCAGGGCGAGCCCCUUCUCCCUCUGCUGUCUCGCUGGCGGUGAUGAGAUUAAGGCAGCAAGAUCUCUGGUAUAGCGACUCCUGGGUGCAGACAGACCAUCUGAGUCUCCACACCUGACCGAAUUCCAGCGCCCCUUGGCUGUAGACACAUCCCGCCCUCGCAGCUGCCCCGGGUUGCCUUUGACCCUCCGCCUCUGGGACAUGUUCCCUUUGCCUGCACCCAGAGGACCGAGAGAUCCAUCCAAGGCUGAAACCACUGGCUGGAUUUUUGAGCAAGACGCCGGCGCUUAAACAAGCAGCACAGAGAUGGAGGCCUGGAAAGACCCUGCCUCCGUGGAAAGGCCCGUGAGCAUCCGUAUGGAGGUUUGAGGCAGCCUGCAGGAAGGAGAUGCUUCAGCCAGACCCCAUUCCCGGCUCAGCGGGGAGCGGCGCUUCAGGCCCCGGGGGCUCCUGUACUGAGAGCACGGAGAGAAACACCUCACACCUCCUUCUGGCCAACCCCUGCCCUCCCAGGCCCGGCCUCCUGCCUGCUCAGGGGUCUUCCUUGAUACGAGGAAUCCUGCUGAUGUGGAGCCAAAAACAUAUCUGCAAGUACGCACUAUUAUCAAGUGUCCGUGGCAAACGUUCACCUUGGGAACCGGAGAAGGAAUGUUCUAGAAACUACCAGGGAAUGCAGUUCCUCUCGUUAGCUCAAGAGUGGAAGCACGAACUGGAAUUCUUUCCCACAAGGAGCAGAAAGUAGCCCUCAGCCAGCGCUGGGGCUCCGAGAACGCCCUUCCUGGUGGGAUGUAAGCCUCUUCCACAGACUCCCCUCUCUGCGACAGACAGAGUGACCGGGAGCUCCCUGAAUUCUGCUAGAAACAGGGUCGAUGUUUGCAAGAAAGGUAAACUAAGUAAGGGCUGGAGCAAUAGCACAGUGGGGAGGGUAUUCGCCUUGCAUGUGGCCGACCCGGGUUUGAUCCCCAGCAUCCCAUAGGGUCCCCCAAGCACUGCCAGGAGUAAUUCCUGAGUGCAUGAGCCAGGAGUGACCCCUGAGCAUCACUGGGUGUGACUCAAAGAGCAAAAUAUAAAUAAAAUUUUUUUCCUUUUUUUUAU